ACUGAGGAUAAUACCUGAUAAGCGAUAAUGCCUGGAACGGUUUAUCGCAUAAAGUUUUAACGUUGAAGGAUGGGACUGCGGUGGAUUAGGUUGAUGUUAGGGUAACUGCCUAAAAUGCCUAUAAUCCAUAGGGGCUGUGAGAGCAGUAGCCCCCAGAUGGGUUCUGAGACACGAACCCAGGUCCUAAGGGACGCAGCAGGCGCGAAACCCCCACAAUGCACGCAAGUGUGAUGGGGGGACCUCUGGUGCUAGCACUACAAGUGUUAGCUUUUCGUCAGUUUAAAUUGCUGGCGGAAUAAGUGGUGGGUAAGACCGUUGCCAGCCGCCGCGGUAAUAACGGCGCCACAAGUGGUGAUCACGUGUAUUGGGUCUAAAGCAUCCGUAGCCGGAUAAUUAAGUCUUUUGUGAAACUUCAUAGAAAACUAUGAAACGUGCAAAGGAAACUAAUUAUCUUGGGACCGGGAAGGGUUAGGGGUACUUCUAGGGUAGAGGUGGAAUUCUGUAAUCCUAGAGGGACCACCGGUGGCGAAGGCGCCUAACUAGAACGGAUCCGACGGUGAGGGAUGAAAGCUAGGGGAGCAAAGGGGAUUAGAUACCCCCGUAGUCCUAGCUGUAAACGAUGCCCGCUAGGUAUUGUGUGUUUUUCGUGAACAUGCAGUGCCGUAGGGAAGCCAUUAAGCGGGCCACCUGGGGAGUACGGUCGCAAGGCUGAAACUUAAAGGAAUUGGCGGGGGAGCACACAAGGGGUGCAGUCUGCGGUUUAAUUGA
rnacentral:rRNA from 1 species